AACGAACGCUGGCGGCAUGCCUAACACAUGCAAGUCGAACGAGACCUUCGGGUCUAGUGGCGCACGGGUGCGUAACGCGUGGGAACCUGCCCUUAGGUUCGGAAUAACUCCCCGAAAGGGGUGCUAAUACCGGAUAAUGUCUUCGGACCAAAGAUUUAUCGCCUUUGGAUGGGCCCGCGUUGGAUUAGCUAGUUGGUAGGGUAAAAGCCUACCACGGCGACGAUCCAUAGCUGGUCUGAGAGGAUGAUCAGCCACACUGGGACUGAGACACGGCCCAGACUCUUACGCGAGGCAGCAGUGGGGAAUAUUGGACAAUGGGCGAAAGCCUGAUCCAGCAAUGCCGCGUGAGUGAUGAAGGCCUUAGGGUUGUAAAGCUCUUUUACCCGGGAUGAUAAUGACGGUACCGGGAGAAUAAGCCCCGGCUAACUACGUG
rnacentral:rRNA from 1 species